AUUGAACGCUGGCGGCAGGCCUAACACAUGCAAGUCGAACGGUAACAGGAAGCAGCUUGCUGCUUUGCUGACGAGUGGCGGACGGGUGAGUAAUGUCUGGGAAACUGCCCGAUGGAGGGGGAUAACUACUGGAAACGGUAGCUAAUACCGCAUAACGUCGCAAGACCAAAGAGGGGGACCUUAGGGCCUCUUGCCAUCGGAUGUGCCCAGAUGGGAUUAGCUAGUAGGUGGGGUAACGGCUCACCUAGGCGACGAUCCCUAGCUGGUCUGAGAGGAUGACCAGCCACACUGGAACUGAGACACGGUCCAGACUCCUACGGGAGGCAGCAGUGGGGAAUAUUGCACAAUGGGCGCAAGCCUGAUGCAGCCAUGCCGCGUGUAUGAAGAAGGCCUUCGGGUUGCAAAGUACUUUCAGCGGGGAGGAAGGGAGUAAAGUUAAUACCUUUGCUCAUUGACGUUACCCGCAGAAGAAGCACCGGCUAACUCCGUG
rnacentral:rRNA from 1 species